CAGCCGCCGCGGUAAGACAGAGGAUGCAAGCGUUAUCCGGAAUGAUUGGGCGUAAAGCGUGCGCAGGCGGUUAUAUAAGACAGAUGUGAAAUCCCCGGGCUCAACCUGGGAACUGCAUUUGUGACUGUAUAGCUAGAGUACGGCAGAGGGGGAUGGAAUUCCGCGUGUAGCAGUGAAAUGCGUAGAUAUUCGGAGGAACACCGAUGGCGAAGGCAAUCCCCUGGGCCUGUACUGACGCUCAUGCACGAAAGCGUGGGGAGCAAACAGGAUUAGAUACCCCGGUAGUCCCUGUCUCUUAUAC
rnacentral:rRNA from 1 species